rnacentral:lncRNA from 1 species
GCAACAUCGUGGUUCCUAUAGUCGGAUUCACUUCCUGCUGUGCCAUGAUGGGAACACCAAUGGCCAAGGUUUACAAGGGUGGACUUGCAAUAACCCCGAGUGACCAGAGAAGGUUGUGGGCUCUGCCCAAGCUACCUAUCAUCAGGGGAUCCCCUAGAGGAGACGGUCUGACCAUAGAAAAAAAAAAGAAAGAAAAGCAUGCAUGUUUGCACUCCUCUGAGUUAAAAUUAUUUAACUAACUGGUUAAAAUUACCAUUAUCUCCACUUCACAAAUUAGGAAAUGAAAGCUCUUGGAGUUCCUAUCAUGGCUCAGCAGAAACGAAUCUGACUAGCAUCCGUGAGGAUGCAGGUUCGAUCCCUGGCCCGCUCAGUGGGUUAAGGAUCUGGUGUUGUUGUGGCUGCGGUGUAGCUCUGAUUCAACCAAUAGCCUGGGAACCUCCAUAUGCUGUGAGUGUGGCCCUAAAAUAAAAACACAAAACAACCAAACAAACAAAAAAGGAAAUGAAAGCUCUAAAAGAGUCAGAAACUCGCCAAACUUAUAAAGCACAGAGAAGGCUCGAACCCAGAGUCAACCUUGCAGCCCAUGCCUUUUACAGACUUACCAGGAGUUUUCAAAUGGGGCCCAAAGACACAUCAUCCCCAGGAAUAUACAAUCUGCUUCAGUUUUUUUUUUUUUUUUUUAAUACUGAAUUUUUAUCUCAAGGGUGAUCUUAAAAUAAAUAUGUAAGUAUAGUCUUGAUCA